GACGAACGCUGGCGGCGUGCCUAAUACAUGCAAGUCGAGCGGAAGUUGGAGAGCUUGCUCUUCAACUUUAGCGGCGGACGGGUGAGUAACACGUGGGCAACCUGCCCUGCAGAUCGGGAUAACUCCGGGAAACCGGUGCUAAUACCGAAUAGUUUUCGCCACCUCCUGGUGGCGUACGGAAAGACGGUUUCGGCUGUCACUGCAGGAUGGGCCCGCGGCGCAUUAGCUAGUUGGUGGGGUAACGGCCCACCAAGGCGACGAUGCGUAGCCGACCUGAGAGGGUGAUCGGCCACACUGGGACUGAGACACGGCCCAGACUCCUACGGGAGGCAGCAGUAGGGAAUCUUCCGCAAUGGACGAAAGUCUGACGGAGCAACGCCGCGUGAGUGACGAAGGUUUUCGGAUCGUAAAACUCUGUUGUGAGGAAAGAACAAGUACCACUUAACUACUGGUACCUUGACGGUACCUCACCAGAAAGCCACGGCUAACUACGUGCCAGCCGCCGCCGUAAAAC
rnacentral:rRNA from 1 species